rnacentral:lncRNA from 1 species
AAAAAAAUAUGGAACAAUACACCACUAUUCUAUCAAGAACUGAUAAAAUCAUGGAUACAUGUAAAUCUGAAUGAAGCUAAAAAUAAUAAAAUAUGUAACUUUUUAGAGACCAGAAAGCAAAUAAUAUGGGGCAAUAGUUUGAUAAAAUUUAAAGGACAAUGUCUGUUUUUUUGAUAAAUGGAUUGAAAGUGAUAUUCUAUUUAUAAAUGACAUAAUUGACAAUAGAGGACAAAUAUCAGAAAAAGUAAUUAAUUUAAAACUAAAAAACAAAAGUAAUUGGAUUGCUGAAUUUUCAAAACUUAAAAAAGCCAUACCAAAUCACUGGGAGGAGAAGCUUAAAACUGAGAGAUCAUUCAAAACUAUAGUAAAUAUUAACAGAGAAAAAAUUAGACUAAGAGACCAUGAGGAUAUACUGGGCAUUAAUAAUAAAGAUAUUUAUAAGAUAGUGCAAAGUCGAAUAAAAACAGAAACACCCAUUGGUUUUUUGAAAUGGGAAAAGAUAUUACAUACAGG